UACGUAGGGGGCAAGCGUUAUCCGGAUUUACUGGGUGUAAAGGGAGCGUAGACGGCAUGGCAAGUCAGAUGUGAAAGCCCGGGGCUCAACCCCGGGACUGCAUUUGAAACUGUCAGGCUGGAGUGCAGGAGAGGUAAGCGGAAUUCCUAGUGUAGCGGUGAAAUGCGUAGAUAUUAGGAGGAACACCAGUGGCGAAGGCGGCUUACUGGACUGUAACUGACGUUGAGGCUCAAAAGCGUGGGGAGCAAACAGG
rnacentral:rRNA from 1 species